AUCUUCCACGAUGGGCGAAAGCCUGAUGGAGCAACGCCGCGUGAGUGAAGAAGGAUUUCGGUUCGUAAAACUCUGUUGUAAGGGAAGAACAAGUACAGUAGUAACUGCCUGUACCUUGACGGUACCUUAUUCGAAAGCCACGGCUAACUACGUUCCUGCAGGCGCGGUAAUACGUAGGGGGCAAGCGUUGUCCGGAAUGAUUGGGCGUAAAGCGUGCUCAGGUGGUUUCUUAAGUCUGAUGUGAAAGCCCACGGCUGAACCGUGGAGGGUCAUUGGGAACUGGGAGACUUGAGUGCAGAAGAGGAUAGUGGAAUUCCAAGUGUAGCGGUGAAAUGCGUAGAGAUUUGGAGGAACACCAGUGGCGAAGGCGACUAUCUGGUCUGUAACUGACACUGAGGCGCGAAAGCGUGGGGAGCAAACAGG
rnacentral:rRNA from 1 species